GCGAUUUGGACGUAGGAGAGCACGGAAAAGCGGCGGCCAGGGAUUUUAAAUGGAGGACGUAAACCAGCAACCUCCCCACACACAGUGGGCUGUUCAUUGCAGUGAUUGUGAGUCUGCUCUUCCUUGUGUUAUUGAGGUUCACAGCUGGGGUUCUCUUCUGGAUUUUCAUCUUUGGUGUGAUUGGAAUUAUAGGUUAUGGCAUCUGGCAUUGUUACUGGGAGUACAACCAUCUGAAAGGAAUACCUGGAUCUGACCUCACUGUUUAGGAUACUGGAUUCCAGAGGGACUUCAGAGUGUGCCUGCAGCUGAGGCAAACAUGGUUAGCAUUUAAUAAGGGUGCUGCUGUGGCUGGUUAAUGGGUGUUACUGGGCACCCUCCUCUCAACCCAUACCCCCCCAGGCUCAUCACCUUCCUCCAAGAGGCCAAUCUGCCCAUCAUCAUCUUCAGCAGGCUCCUUCAAGCCGCCACCAACUACAGCCAAGGCCACAUGGGGCAGCUCUCAGGGGUCACCACCACCCUCCUGUUCGGGGGGGCCGGGCGCAGGUCUUCACCUCCCUUCAGGUGAGACCCCCCACCUUGGACGCCCCAAAUCCCCUUUUCCACCCCCCGCAAUGUUCCAUCUCCAACAGGAGACAGAGGACCCACUCCUGGCCUUGACCUUCGCCACGUUGGCCGCCUGCAAUGGGCUCCUAUUGGGGCAGCUGCUGUAUUAUGGGGGGAGGAGCCCCCAAACCUCCCCCUCACCGCAAAGUGGACUGACCCCGGAUCCCCCCAUACCCUCCCCCCAAUGGAACAAACUGGGGGGGUGGUGUUAAAAAGGGGGUUUUUGUGGGGUGAAACAUCCCCCCAUUAAUAAAAUGGGUUUUCACUGG
rnacentral:lncRNA from 1 species